rnacentral:rRNA from 1 species
AUUGAACGCUGGCGGCAGGCCUAACACAUGCAAGUCGAGCGGUAGAGAGAAGCUUGCUUCUCUUGAGAGCGGCGGACGGGUGAGUAAUGCCUAGGAAUCUGCCUGAUAGUGGGGGAUAACGUCCGGAAACGGACGCUAAUACCGCAUACGUCCUACGGGAGAAAGUGGGGGAUCUUCGGACCUCACGCUAUCAGAUGAGCCUAGGUCGGAUUAGCUAGUUGGUGGGGUAAAUGCUCACCAAGGCGACGAUCCGUAACUGGUCUGAGAGGAUGAUCAGUCACACUGGAACUGAGACACGGUCCAGACUCCUACGGGAGGCAGCAGUGGGGAAUAUUGGACAAUGGGCGAAAGCCCGAUCCAGCCAUGCCGCGUGUGUGAAGAAGGUCUUCGGAUUGUAAAGCACUUUAAGUUGGGAGGAAGGGUCGUUACCUAAUACGUGACGAUUUUGACGUUACCGACAGAAUAAGCACCGGCUAACUCUGUGCCAGCCGCCGCGGUAAGAC